rnacentral:rRNA from 1 species
GAUUAACGCUGGCGGCGUGCAUAACACAUUCAAGUCGAACGGUGACGACCUUCGGGUCUGAUCAGUGGCGGACGGGUGAGUAACGCGUGAGCAAUCUACCUCUUGGUGAGGGAUAACAACCGGAAACAGUUGCUAAUACCUCAUGAAAUGGCAGCUCUGCAUGGAGCAACCAUCAAAGAUUUAUUGCCAAGAGAUGAGCUUGCGUCUGAUUAGCUAGUUGGUGAGGUAACGGCCACCAAGGCGACGAUCGGUAGCCGGACUGAGAGGUUGAACGGCCACAUUGGAACUGAGAUACGGUCCAGGCUCCUACGGGAGGCAGCAGU